rnacentral:rRNA from 1 species
UACAGAGGGUGCGAGCGUUGUCCGGAAUCACUGGGCGUAAAGGGCGCGUAGGUGGUCGGGUAAGCGUGCGGUGAAAGCCCGGGGCUCAACCCCGGGUCGGCCGUGCGAACUGCCCGACUGGAGCACGGUAGAGGCCAAUGGAAUUCCGGGUGUAGCGGUGGAAUGCGUAGAGAUCCGGAAGAACACCGGUGGCGAAGGCGGUUGGCUGGGCCGUGGCUGACACUGAGGCGCGACAGCGUGGGGAGCGAACAGG